GGGGGUAGGCCUCCCGAAGUCGACUUGCGGGAGCUGACUUCAAACCGCCCAGUGCUGCUGUGCUCAAAAGGCAUGUUAUCUGUUCUUCUGGAGAUGG
rfam:Betaproteobacteria bacterium CG2_30_59_46 cg2_3.0_scaffold_22811_c, whole genome shotgun sequence.